ensembl:lncRNA
GACAGACAGUGGAUAGACAGGGAUAGACAGGGGAUAGACAGGGGAUAGACAGGGUUAUAGAUAGGGGAUAGACAGGGUUAUAGACAGGGUUAUAGACAGGGGAUAGACAGGGUUAUAGACAGGGGAUAGACAGGGUUAUAGACAGGGUUAUAGACAGGGGAUAGACAGGGUUAUAGACAGGGUUAUAGACAGGGGAUAGACAGGGAUAUAGACAGGGAUAGACAAGGUUAUAGACAGGGUUAUAGACAGGGGAUAGACAGGGUUAUAAACAUGGUUUUAGACAGGGUUAUAGACAGGGUUAUAGACAGGGUUAUAGACAGGGUUAUAGACAGGGUUAUAGACAG